UACGUAGGGUGCGAGCGUUGUCCGGAAUUACUGGGCGUAAAGAGCUCGUAGGUGGUUUGUCGCGUUGGGCGUGAAAACUCACAACUCAAUUGUGGGCGUGCGGGCGAUACGGGCAGACUGGAGUACUGCAGGGGAGACUGGAAUUCCUGGUGUAGCGGUGGAAUGCGCAGAUAUCAGGAGGAACACCGGUGGCGAAGGCGGGUCUCUGGGCAGUAACUGACGCUGAGGAGCGAAAGCGUGGGGAGCGAACAGG
rnacentral:rRNA from 1 species